GGGGUCGACUGGUAUUGACAGCGAGUAUUAUAAAUUAGUAAGCAUGUCGCGUAAUGAAAUUGAAACGCGUUAAACACUAUUUUAAAAUUUAAACGGCGAAAAUAACUACGCUUUAGCAGCUUAAUCCGAAUUAUAGUAGGAUUGGCCUCGUUCCACUAGGUGGAAAUGCUAAAUGUUUCCUAGGAGCCUUGGUUAAUGGCGCCUAAUAAGAAACAUCGUAAAAAUUAACAUAGAAAACUUGGAGUUUUGACUUGUUUUUGAAACUAAAGAAACUAAGUAAUAUAUAGGCAGUUUUUAGUCAUUAUAUUAUCGAAAAUUAAAUAAAAACUAUACAUGUAGAAAGCUAUUUUGUAGCUUGUUUGGACCCGAGUUCGAUUCUCGGCGGCUCCAC
rnacentral:tmRNA from 1 species